CAGACGAUGCGUCAUGCAUAUCAAUAAGCGGAGGAAAAGAAACUAACAAGGAUUCCCCUAGUAACGGCGAGUGAAGCGGGAAGAGCUCAAAUUUGAAAUCUUAAAGGGUUUCCCUUUACGAAUUGUAGUUUAAAGAAGUGUUUUCUGUUGAGGUUUUGGUAAAAGUUCUUUGGAAUAGGACAUCAUAGAGGGUGAGAAUCCCGUAUUUGACCUUUACUUUCAACUUUGUGAUACACUUUCAAAGAGUCGGAUUGUUUGGGAAUGCAGUCCAAAAUGGGUGGUAAAUUCCAUCUAAAGCUAAAUAUUGGCGAGAGACCGAUAGCGAACAAGUACCGUGAGGGAAAGAUGAAAAGAACUUUGAAAAGAGAGUUAAACAGUACGUGAAAUUGUCAAAAGGGAAGCGUUUGACACCAGUGUUGUUUUUCUGAAAAUCAAUUAAAGAACUGUUUAUGCUAAGUUGUUUAGACUUUAUCAGCUAACUGUUUAGUUUUGAGCUUUUCUUUAAUGCACUUUUCAGUUAACAAGUCAACAUCAAUUUCUUUUGCUGUAAAAAAGCUUGAGGAAGGUGGCUUGAGAUUCGUCUUAAGUGUUUAUAGCCUCUUGCCUAUGCAGUCGGAGAGAUUGAGGUCUGCAGCGCAGAUCCUUCGGGGCUAAAUGCAUUUGUGCUAAGUUAUAGCAUUUUAUAGACAACUUGUUGACUAUGAUUUGUCUUGUAGCUUACUCGCUUAUGUUAUUUUACCUACGCUUAGGAUGUUGAGCGCAUGUCUCUCUCU
rnacentral:rRNA from 1 species